rnacentral:rRNA from 1 species
AGGACGAACGCUGGCGGCGUGCUUAACACAUGCAAGUCGAGCGAGGCCCUUCCUUCGGGAAGGUGCCCUAGCGGCGAACGGGUGAGUAACACGUGGGCAACCUGCCUCUAGCACUGGGAUAACUCCGGGAAACCGGGGCUAAUACCGGAUAUGACCUCCGAGGGCAUCCUUGGUGGUGUAAAGGAUUCUGGCUAGAGAUGGGCCCGCGGCCUAUCAGCUUGUUGGUGGGGUAACGCCUACCAAGGCGACGACGGGUAGCCGGCCUGAGAGGGCGACCGGCCACACUGGGACUGAGACACGGCCCAGACUCCUACGGGAGGCAGCAGUGGGGAAUAUUGCACAAUGGGCGAAAGCCUGAUGCAGCGACGCCGCGUGAGGGAUGAAGGCCUUCGGGUUGUAAACCUCUUUCAGCAGGGACGAAGCGAAAGUGACGGUACCUGCAGAAGAAGCACCGGCCAACUACGCGCCAGCAGCCGC